AUACGUAGGUGGCGAGCGUUGUCCGGAAUUACUGGGUGUAAAGGGCGUGUAGGCGGGGAUGCAAGUCAGAUGUGAAAUACCGAGGCUUAACCUCGGGGCUGCAUCUGAAACUGUGUUUCUUGAGUGUCGGAGAGGAAAGCGGAAUUCCCAGUGUAGCGGUGAAAUGCGUAGAGAUUGGGAGGAACACCAGUGGCGAAGGCGGCUUUCUGGACGACAACUGACGCUGAGGCGCGAAAGCGUGGGGAGCAAACAGGAUUAGAUACCCUGGUAGUCCACGCCGUAAACGAUGGAUACUAGGUGUAGGAGGUAUCGACCCCUUCUGUGCCGGAGUUAACACAAUAAGUACCCCGCCUGGGGAGUACGGCCGCAAGGUUGAA
rnacentral:rRNA from 1 species